AGAAAGCUUACAAAUGUGAAGAAUGUCACAAAGUUUUCAGUCGCACAUCAAUCCUUGAAAGACAUAGGAGAAUUCCUACUGGAGAAAAACCAUAAAUAUGUAAGAGUUUGUGACAAGGCUUUCAGGUGUGAUUCGCACCUGGCACAACAUCCUAGAAUUCACACUAGAGAGAAGCCUUACAAGUGUAAUGAGUGUGACAGUCUUUAAUGGGCAGUCAACACUUGUUUACCAUCAGGCAAUUCAUGGUGUAGGGAAACUUUACUGAUGUAAUGAUUGUCACAGUCUUCAGUAAUGCUACAACCAUUGUGAAUCUUUGGAGAAUCCAUAAUUGGAGAGAUCAUACUAGUGUAAUAAAUUUGGCAGAUUUUUCAGAUGUUGUUCAUACCUUGCAGUUCAUUGGUGAACUCAUGCUGGAGAGAAACCUUACAAAUGUCAUGAUUGUGGCAACAUCUUCAGUCAAGCUUCAUCCUAUGGAAAACAUAUGAUAAUUCAUACAGGAGAGAAACCUCACAAGUGUGAUGAUUGUGGCAAAGCCUUUACUUCACACCUCAUUAGACAUCAGAGAAUGCAUACUGGACAGAAAUCUUACAAAUGUCAUCAAUGUACCAAGGUCUUCAGUCUGAGUUCACUCCUUGCAGAAUAUCAGAAAAUUCAUUUUGGAGGUAGUUGUUCCAAAUGCAAUGAGUAGAGCAAACAAUCAAGCAUUAAUUGACACUAGAGUCAAUUCAGCAUUGACUUGAGUUUGAGUUGAGUUAACAUUGAGUUCAAGCAUUAAUUGACAUUGAAGUGUUUAUGUUAAGAGGAUUCGGCCAGGCACAGUGGCUCACACCUGUAAUCCGAGCGCUUUGGGAGGCCAAGGUGGGUACAUCACUUGAGGUCAGGAGUUUGAGAUCAGCCUGGCCAACAGAUGUGAGCCAUUUUCCCUGCCUGUUUUUCAUUUCUUUAACAAAAACUGAUAGGGAUUUUUAUGGGUAUUGUGUUGAAUCUAAAUCACAUUGGGUUAUAUAAUUAUUUAACAACAUUAAUUUUUCCAAACCAUCAAUAUGGGUUGUAGCUCUAUGUUUUUAAUCAUUUCAAUCAAUGUUUGUAGAUGUCAAGGUACAAAUUUCUGACCUUUUUAUGUUUAUUUCUAAGUAUUUCUUAAUUUAAGUUCUCCAGCAAAUGGAAGUGUUUUAAAAUUUUCUUUUAAAAUUGUUUAUUGUUAAACUGGAAAUUUAACUAAUUUUUGGUGCUAAUACGGUAUUGUGCAAAUCCACUGAAUAUGUUACUUAGUUCCAGUAGUAUUUUGGUUGACUCUGUGAUUUUCUACACAGAAGAUCAUGUCAUCUACAAACAAAUAUAAUUUUACUUCUUUCUUUCUGA